GUGUUCGUGAAAAGGAGAGAUGGUUGGCAUCUCCCCUGACAGGGAUGGGAACAGCUUUCGGGCUUUCCUGUUACACAUAUCGGUUAAGCUAUCCACCUCACGGUUGGAUCUAUAACCCAAUUUUUUUU
rnacentral:ncRNA from 1 species